UUUGUCUCUCGUCCGAAGGACGCCCAGCCGGUUGGGCAGUGUAAGCGUGACGGCCUGAAGGUCGGGAAACGGCAGGUGGCCGGUUUCGUACCUCGUGUGCGUCGCCGGUUGUUAGCCAUCCCGUCAGUGGCCCGUCGCUCGACCGUGGUGUCGCGAGGCCGCAAGGCUUCACCGUCUCCUGCUUCGCGCAGCGGGUAAGGUCGCAGGCGUGGUCCACUGUCGCGUCGCACUACUCUGGAGUGGGCGCGCGAAUGGAACGCGCCGUUGGUGGCCGUGGCCCGCAGGAAGUUCGGAGGCUCGCGGCGAGUAGGUCGGUCACCCACCCGACCCGGUCUUGAAACACGGACCAAGGAGUCUAACAUGUGCGCGAGUCAGUGGGUCUUGAAUAGGCCCACGGGCGCAAUGAAAGCAAAGGCCGUCUUCAGGCGGCCGAGUUGGGAUCCCCUUCCGCUCGGGGGGGGCGCACCAACGGCCCGUCCUAUCCGGCUCGCCGGUUGGGCGGAGCAUGAGCGUACACGUUGGGACCCGAAAGAUGGUGAAGGUAUGCCGCGGACAGACUAAUCGCAAGCCAGUGAAAUGCUCAGAAGGUAAACGGCGAAAGACUAAUCGA
rnacentral:rRNA from 1 species